CCGCGGUAAUACGGAGGGUGCAAGCGUUAAUCGGAAUCACUGGGCGUAAAGCGCGCGUAGGCGGUCUGGUCAGUCAGAUGUGAAAGCCCCGGGCUCAACCUGGGAACUGCAUUUGAAACUGCUGGACUAGAGUGUGGUAGAGGGAAGUGGAAUUCCGAGUGUAGCGGUGAAAUGCGUAGAGAUUCGGAGGAACAUCAGUGGCGAAGGCGACUUCCUGGACCAACACUGACGCUGAGGUGCGAAAGCGUGGGGAGCAAACAGG
rnacentral:rRNA from 1 species